UACGGAGGAUGCGAGCGUUAUCCGGAUUUAUUGGGUUUAAAGGGUGCGCAGGCGGGAGAUUAAGUCGGCGGUGAAAUUUUGCAGCUCAACUGUAAAAGUGCCUUCGAUACUGGCUUUCUUGAGUGUGGAUGAAGUAGGCGGAAUUUGUGGUGUAGCGGUGAAAUGCUUAGAUAUCACGAGGAACUCCGAUUGCGCAGGCAGCUUACUAAACUACUACUGACGCUCAGGCACGAAGGCGGGGGGAGUCAAACAGGAUUAGAUACCCGGGUA
rnacentral:rRNA from 1 species